GGUUGAUGAGCAAGCGACUAAGUUGCAAUCACAUUCGUUUGGAUCAUCUAUCUCCAACUUCCAAUUUAUUUCAAUUUUUGUCAUAGUUUUCUAGUUUUUGGAAAAAAAUGGUUUUACUUUUUAAGGAGGAACUUCAAUUUAAGGUUGGAUCUAUUGACCAAGGGACUAGACUUGACGCACUACAAUGUAUCGCUAAUUGUGAAGGAGUUGCUUUUGUUGAUUUUGAUGAGGAAGACACCACAAUAAUUGUGAAGGGAGAAAAACUCGAUGAACGUAAAAUUAAGAAAAAAUUAGAUAAAUUUCUGAAUGAAUCUAAGGCAAGAGGAGGUUGUUUCUCUUGUUUUAGUUGCUAAUA